rnacentral:tRNA from 1 species
GCCGUGGUUGCCUAGCCUGGUAAGGCGCAGGAUUGCUAUUCUGCAAAUAUCCUGUCUCCGCAAGGAAUCGCGGGUUCAAAUCCCGCUCACGGCG